GGAAGGAUGGUCUUGUGGUUAGAACAAUAGACUGGGAAUCAGUACAAUCUGGGUUCUCUUCACAGCUCUUCCA
rnacentral:tRNA from 1 species